CCUACGGGUGGCAGCAGUGGGGAAUAUUGCACAAUGGGGGAAACCCUGAUGCAGCGACGCCGCGUGAGUGAAGAAGUAAUUCGGUAUGUAAAGCUCUAUCAGCAGGGAAGAAAAUGACGGUACCUGAGUAAGAAGCCCCGGCUAACUACGUGCCAGCAGCCGCGGUAAUACGUAGGGGGCAAGCGUUAUCCGGAUUUACUGGGUGUAAAGGGAGCGUAGACGGCGGUGCAAGUCCGGAGUGAAAGACCAGGGCUCAACCCCUGUACUGCUCUGGAAACUGUACGGCUGGAGUGCAGGAGAGGCAAGCGGAAUUCCUAGUGUAGCGGUGAAAUGCGUAGAUAUUAGGAGGAACACCAGGGGCGAAGGCGGCUUACUGGACUGUAACUGACGUUGAGGCUCGAAAGCGUGGGGAGCAAACAGGAUUAGAUACCCGAGUGGUC
rnacentral:rRNA from 1 species